GGGGCUGUAGCUCAGUAGUAGAGCACCUGUCUUGCAUGCAGAAGACCCCAGGUUCAGUCCCUGGCGUCUUCU